CAGAGGGUGCAAACGUUGCUCGGAAUUACUGGGCGUAAAGCGCGUGUAGGUGGUCACCCCAGUCGGAUGUGAAAGCCCAGGGCUCAACCCUGGACGUGCAUACGAUACUAGGUGGCUGGAGUCUCGGAGAGGAUAGCGGAAUUCCCGGUGUAGAGGUGAAAUUCGUAGAUAUCGGGAGGAACACCAGUGGCGAAGGCGGCUAUCUGGACGAGUACUGACACUGAGACGCGAAAGCAUGGGGAGCAAACAGGAUUAGAUACCCUGGUAGUCCAUGCUGUAAACGAUGAGAACUGGGUGUUGCGGGUAUUGACCCCCGCGGUGCCGAAGCCAACGCGUUAAGUUCUCCGCCUGGGAAGUACGGCCGCAAGGCUA
rnacentral:rRNA from 1 species